UCUCCGUUGGUGAACCAGCGGAGGGAUCAUUACAGAGUUGCGAAUCUCCCAAACCAUUGUGAACGUUACCUAUCCCGUUGCUUCGGCGCGCGGCGCGAGCCCCGCGCCCGGCGCCCCCCUGCCCACCGUGGGCGCCCGCCGGAGGUAGACCAAACCCAGGAUUUCCAUGGCAUCUGUGAGACUUAUGUACUGAAUAAGUCACAACUUUCAGCAACGGAUCUCUUGGUUCUG
rnacentral:misc_RNA from 1 species